rnacentral:rRNA from 1 species
GAUGAACGCUAGCGGCAGGCUUAAUACAUGCAAGUCGAGGGGCAGCACGGGUAGCAAUACCUGGUGGCGACCGGCAAACGGGUGCGGAACACGUACGCAACCUUCCCAAAACUGGUGAAUAGCCCUCCGAAAGGAGGAUUAAUACACCGUACCAUAAUGAAGAGGCAUCUCUUUAUUAUUAUAGUCUUCGGACGGUUUUGGAUGGGCGUGCGCCUGAUUAGGUAGUUGGCGGGGUAACGGCCCACCAAGCCUGCGAUCAGUAACUGGUGUGAGAGCACGACCAGUCACACGGGCACUGAGACACGGGCCCGACUCCUACGGGAGGCAGCAGUAAGGAAUAUUGGUCAAUGGACGCAAGUCUGAACCAGCCAUGCCGCGUGAAGGAUGAAGGUCCUCUGG